GAUGAACGCUAGCGAUAGGCUUAACACAUGCAAGUCGAGGGGCAGCACAAGGUAGCUUGCUAUCUGGGUGGCGACCGGCGCACGGGUGCGUAACGCGUAUGCAACUUGCCCUAUACAGGAGGAUAACCCGUCGAAAGACGGACUAAUACUGCGUAUGCUCACAACUUGGCAUCAAGUGGUGAGGAAAGAAAUUCGGUAUAGGAUAGGCAUGCGUCCCAUUAGCUUGUUGGUGAGGUAACGGCUCACCAAGGCAACGAUGGGUAGGGGAACUGAGAGGUUUAUCCCCCACACUGGUACUGAGACACGGACCAGACUCCUACGGGAGGCAGCAGUGAGGAAUAUUGGUCAAUGGGCGCGAGCCUGAACCAGCCAAGUCGCGUGAAGGAUGACUGUCUUAUGGAUUGUAAACUUCUUUUAUACGGGAAUAACAAGAGUCACGUGUGACUCCCUGCAUGUACCGUAUGAAUAAGCAGCGGCUAACUCCGUG
rnacentral:rRNA from 1 species